ensembl:lncRNA
ACGCUCCAUCCAUAAAACCUCCACAGGAAACAUGACCAUCCAGAGAGUUUCCAAGUCAGAUGAAGGACAUUACAAGUGUAGCAUCUCGGGAGCUGGGGAAUCACCAGUGAGCUGGCUGAACAUCACAGCAUUCGUCCGAGCAGAAGCAGGAACCAGCAGAGCAAUGUCUUCAGCAGGUCCCCAGCAACCCGUAGCAGUGGAUUCCUUCUAUUGUACUAAACAAAAGGUUGCAGAGAGAGAGAGAGCUGAAGAAAUAAUCACAUCUGAAGGAGAGUGAAAACAAAAAUAUAACUCAGUUUUAUCACAUAUUGUUCUAGUAAUUAACCACGUUGUACAUUGUCAUCUCAGUUUUGUCUACAUGUCUAUAAAUUGUUAUAUGUUUUCUUUUUUCAGAUACAGCUUUUUGCCAUUACUGUGUGGUCAUAAGUAUAUAUAAACCUUUGCUUGAAUACAAGCAAAGGUACCAGCGUGAUAUUUAGAAGUUGAAGUUAAAACAAAGUGUUCGAUCAUUCCAUUUUUACACAUGUAUGUAUGAAUAAGUAUGUAUGCUGUUAAAAUAAAAGUGCUGGUGCAGCUUUUAAAAACACCCAUUGUGGUCAA